ACGGACAAUUCUCGUUGAAAACACCGGUUCUUGUUUGAUCACUGAAGUUAAGCAUCGUCGGAUCCGGUCAGUACUUAGAUGGGUGACUCAUUGGGAACACCUGGUACUGUAAG